UAGGCAAUCCAAUCCAAAGCAGAGGCGGUCUUGCGCACAGUGGUCUUGCGGUACUUGGGUACUUGCGGCACUUGCGGUCUUGCCUGGGUACUUGCCAGGGUGUUUCCGGUGUUUCUGUUCACCUGUGUAGAUUUGGAGGUAACGGCUGUCUCUGAGUUGACCAUGUUGCUCCACGGCUUUCUUGCCGUGCUUCUUUGCGCGUCCUUCGUGUCUGCGGACGAGAAGGAGCCGGCAGACAAAGUUAUAGUCAAGGCUCGUGUCGAGAGCUGCGGCGGAUGACGACUGAACGCCUAUCCCGAGGUGAAGAAGUUUGUCUAUGACGACAUUCCACUCUUUCACAACGUGGAGUUCAAGGUGAUCGGAGGUGCAAAGCCGGAGGUCCUCUUCCUCAACAUGAACGACGAGGAAGUUGAGCGCCAUAGCCUGGAGGGGCGCAGCCGCGAUGAGUGCAACCAGCUGCUUCUAGACAGGGGCUUCGAGAAGAAGAAGCAGGAGGCUCCCCAAGAAGAAGAAGGACCUGGCUUGUUUGCCGACGAGAAGGCCGAACUAUAAGUCCGACCUUUGCUCUUUUCUGUUUGUUUUGUUUUUGUGGCACUUUUGCAGGCGCUUUUUGUUUCUGCACUCCUGUUCUUGCACCGCAUUACUUUCCAGAGCUGCCGUUCCUUCACGGCAGCACGUCCCAGUGUCCGAAGCGAGCAUUGUUUUGACGCUCGAAUGAAGUUACCGUUGGAAAUUUGUUAACAAACACGGCGGCGACGGAUGUGUCGCGUCGGAAGCUCUGCUCCGAUGAACUCAGGGUUGUGCUGUUUUGGGUUGGACGAGGCAAUAAAAGAAAUGUUUGGUACAA